rnacentral:lncRNA from 1 species
ACAGUAGCCAGUGGUAUGCUGGAGUGGAUUUGUACCAGUUCAUGAACCAAUUAUUAAAUGUCCAGGAAUUUUGUGAGCCAGUUGAUUUCACAUUGGUAGUUUGAAAUCAGCUACAGUGUGGGUAUUUAUACCACAGAUAGAUCUGCAAAUGCUGAAAAUCAACCUUUUCUUUUUUUCUUAGAGACCCAGUUGUUCAUAGGCCACCAGCAAGUUUUGGACAUCACAUUUAAAAGAAUUCAUACUUAAUUCUCCUCCCCCUCACUUGGAGAGCACUAAGGCUUGGGGAACUCAAGAACUUUCCAUCAGGUCCAGACUGGAAGACGUCAGGCCAGGGCCAAGACUCAACUUGCUUCCCUUGGGCCCCUGGCGCCUUGUGAAGGUUCUUGGACCUUUCAUAUGCUGCUGUGACUGUGGUUUCCGGCUUCCUGAGUUCUCAUACUCAGCUGAGUGCUGCAGAUAUCAUACCCUAGUUCCUACUUUGGAGACUGACAUGCUCAAGCUUGGUAAUAUUCUGAAUAUAUGGGGUCUGUGAGUGUGAGUCACAGCUUUUUUCUUUCUUUUUUUUUUUUUUAAAGAUUGUAUUUAUUUGAGGGAAAUAAAGAGGGAAAGCGAGCACAAGCAGGGGGGGUGGCAGGCAGAGGGAGAGAGAGGAGUCCCCUUGCUGAACAAAGAGCCCAAUGUGGGGCUUGAUCCUAGGACCCUGGGAUCAUGACCGGAGCCAAAGGCAGCAGAUGCUUAACUGACUGAGCCACCCAGGCACCCAGGGUUGCUUUUCUGUUUCAGUUUUCCCCUUUUCCCUAGACAGACUCAUUGUAAAUACCUUGGGGUUGCAUAAGGACAGAGUGUAAAGGUUUGUUGGCUAGAGGCUGAGAAAGAUCAGUUUUCUAAUUGAAUAUCCUAUCUCAUGUUAGGGCAUUAGUUCUGCUUCUCUUUAGGCAGGGACAUUUUGAAUACUCUAGAUGAUGAUGAAUCUAGUAAGAAAGUAAUCAGAAAAUAAUUUUAUAGAACUUUGCAGUUAAUAAUAGAUUUCCUCAUACACUAUUUAACUUAAAUAUGACAAUUUAAGAAGAAAAGUGAUGCGUAGGGAGUUAAAAGACUUUCCAUGCAGCUACUGAAUGCCUUUCAUGUGUAUGCGGGGUUUCUUUGUGGAGCUGUCAUUUUACAGGCUGGGACCAGAGUUCUGAAUUGGUUGGAUACUUAGCAGGAGAGAUUCUACUCUGUGGAACUGAGGCUGCUUUACAUUCAUUGUUUCAUUUAUUCUACUAAUUGCAACUAUUAGUUGAAUGCCCAUCUUGUAUGAAGAAAGGCUCUACCUAUGAUAUAAUUGGGAGGUUGAGACCCACUACUAGUGAGACACUGGAGAGGAUCUUAAGGCCCAAAGAUGGAUGCUGCUAAGGAGGCAGUGGUAAAACUAGGGCUUUAGAUGAGAAUUUUGCAAACUGGAGUUCUGUGACUAGCAGCCAGUGAAGAUCCAGUUUAGAAGCUGGCAAGCCAGGUUUCUGCAGGAAUCAGAAAGAGCUUAACUCCCAAGGUACUUUAUUCAUAUCUGCAUCAAAUUAUUUUGGUUGGCCAGCAUCAGCUCUCCCCUCUUUCCCAAUUUUCCCAAUGGGGGAAUAUCCAUAGGGGCAGAUUGCUCCUCUCUUCUUUCCCUGGCAGCUUGGACUAAUCCAUGUGACCUGAGAUUGACCAAUCAACAGUGGCUCUGGGCCAAGAUUUUUUGCCUCUGAAACGAGUGACUCAAAGACAAAAAGAUGUUAGGAUUGAAUCCCAGCUGUGGUGUGUGGUGCUGUUGGCAGCAGCAGCUGCUUCUUGGUGAAGCUGCUUUUCUGUCUGCUUGUUUUCCAAGCUUACCCUCCUGUCUAUGCUCUAGGCCCCUAAUAUCCUUGUAAUAUAUUUCUCUUUUGCUUGUAUUGGCAACACUGUCAGUGCUUGUAUUUGCAACAGACAAAAAGAACCUUAACUUACAAAUUGCAAUGAUCUCUUUACUGGGCUCUGAGAUCCUUGAGAGCAGGGCCUACACUUCAUUCUGCCCUGUGUCCCUUUUUUUUUUUUUUUUUU